rfam:Triticum aestivum genome assembly, contig: Triticum_aestivum_CS42_TGACv1_scaffold_578876_7BL
UACGUACUUCCUCUGUUCUAAAUUACUCGUCGCAGAAAUGGAUGUAUCUAGAACUAAAAUACAUCUAGAUACAUCCAUACCUGCAACAAGUAAUUUGGACCGGAGGGAGUACAUG